AGUCGAGGGGCAGCGCGGGAUAGCAAUAUCCUGGCGGCGACCGGCGGAAGGGUGCGUAACGCGUGAGCGACAUGCCCGUUGCCCGGGGACAACCGGUGGAAACGCCGACUAAUCCCCGAUGGGAUAUUGUGCCGCAUGGCACGAUAUUGAAAGUUACGGCGGCGACGGAUUGGCUCGCGUCCGAUUAGCUUGUUGGCGGGGUAACGGCCCACCAAGGCUACGAUCGGUAGGGGUUCUGAGAGGAAGGCCCCCCACAAUGGGACUGAGACACGGCCCAUACUCCUACGGGAGGCAGCAGUGAGGAAUAUUGGUCAAUGGGCGGAAGCCUGAACCAGCCAUGCCGCGUGCGGGAAGGAGGCCCUAUGGGCUGUGAACCGCUUUUGCCUGGGGGCAAUAAGGGCGUCGCGCACGUCCGAUGAGAGUACCAGGCGAAUAAGCAUCGGCUAACUCCGUGCCAGCAGCCGCGGUAAUACGGGGGAUGCGAGCGUUAUCCGGAUUCAUUGGGUUUAAAGGGUGCGUAGGCUGUGCGUCAAGUCGGGGGUGAAAUUCCGGUGCUCAACACCGGGGCUGCCCUUGAUACUGUCGCGCUGGAGUGCGGAUGCCGCCGGAG
rnacentral:rRNA from 1 species